GGGGGUAUAGCUCAGUGAUAGAGCAUUCGACAGCAGAUCGGGAGGCCUCCGGUUCAAACCCGGAUGCUCCGUUCU